GAGAGAUGGCUGAGUGGACUAAAGCGUCGGAUUGCUAAUCCGUUGUACGAAUUAUUCGUACCGAGGGUUCGAAUCCCUCUCUCUCCGACCCUCCU
rnacentral:tRNA from 2 species